UGGCCAUGUUCAAAUGAAUAAAAAGAUGCAAGACCGUGGACACUUGCACUUUUUCUGCAGAAUUUAAUGCACACACCCUUUCUAUAAGCUAAUGACCGUCCACUUUGCUGCAUCCAUUCCAGCUGCACUCUCCUUUCCUCCUUCUUCAACUACGUUCCCUUCUCAUCAAAAAUCACUUCUCCCCUUUGUAACAAAUCCUUCUCUUCCUCUCUACUCUUUAGCAAGCAAAUAAGUGUGUGUGGUUUACUCUUCCAUACAGCAGAAACAAAUCAGCAUCUACAAGGUGACGGCAGUUCCUUUCUACUCUACUAUGAAAGCAAAACAAAUGAACAUGAUAUUUGGUUCUACACAAAGCCAUGAAUCAUCUUUUCAAAGGUUACAAGAUGCUAAGAGAUUGUAUGAAAAUGCAGAAAACCAAAUGGAAGAUGCAAUUACAAUUCAAGAAAGAAAAUAAACAUAAGCUAUUCAUUCAUCAUGAACAUGUUUCCAGUUCUCAAGGAAAAUCAUUCAAAGUACAAAGAAGCAAAGCAAAGUAAAGGAAACAAACUAGCUGCCUCUUGGUCUUGUGUCUUCUUCCAGUAGUGUUUCAAGAAUCAAAUACAGUUUUGCUUCCCUCUUCUAGCUCUCUGGACGUAUCAUCUCACACCAGCACCUUCUCUUCCUUCAUCAAGCCAUGAUCUCUGUAAUACUCUUGCUAUACUCCACGGGAAAAGAGAAAAGAUAGGAUGCCCCCAAAUUGCCGAGAGGAAGGAGGUUUUAAGAGACCCCAAAAAUCAGCAUGUGUGUUGUCUCUUUGUGCCAUAGAGUAGCGGCUGAUCCACCACCUAGUAGUUAGCCUUUUUCAUUUUUCUUCAAUCAAUCCCCUGUGCUUGGAUUUAGCUCUCCAAUUGGUGUUUCACGGGAUGACUUUGUUCUUGGAUCUAGCUCAUUCUACCUUUUCUCAAUUGUAUGUUGAAUUUUCCAAAGGUGGUAUGUGUAUGGCCGAGACUUUCAAGUAUGGUCACUUCCCUCAUUUAAUUUGUAAUGUGAAUUGUAUACAUAAGACAAUGCUAUUCUUUUCCAAAACAA